GGGGUUCACACCCAAGCGAUGGCGUGGUGUUUCUUUGUGUUUUUUUUUUUUUUUUUUUCUUUUAAGAUUUUUUGAGGAACAAAAGGGAAGCAUUCUAAAGAAAUAAGGGUUGCACUUGCGCAAGGGCAAGAGGAAACCAGGUAAAGCUUGGACAAUCGCCUCGCACAGUGGCUGGCACAAAGUAAAUGCUCAAUCCGUUGUUAUUAUUAUUAUUGUUAUUGUUAUGG
rnacentral:lncRNA from 1 species